UACGAGGGGGGCGAGCGUUGUUCGGAAUUAUUGGGCGUAAAGGGUGCGUAGGCGGUUUGGUAAGUCUUAUGUGAAAUCUACAGGCUCAACUUGUAGUCUGCAUGAGAAACUGCCGGGCUUGAGUAUGGGAGAGGUGAGAGGAAUUCCUGGUGUAGCGGUGAAAUGCGUAGAUAUCAGGAGGAACACCUGUGGCGAAAGCGGCUCACUGGACCAUAACUGACGCUGAUGCACGAAAGCUAGGGGAGCAAACAGG
rnacentral:rRNA from 1 species